GUGACCCAUUCGUUGUCAGCCAACCGUGAAGUUCACAUUCACACUCUCGUCAGCCUACACUAAUAAAAUCACUUCGUUUCCACAACUUAAAACUCUCAGUAGUACAUACUACCAGUUUCGUUUCUUUCUAAAAAAUAAGUUACAUUUCCCGUGAUAAAAUAUUUAAAAGUUCAAAUACAAUACGAAAAAAUAAAAUUUUCAUUGGUAAUCUGCAGUGCAAAUAUUUUCCUUGCCUGAAAAUGUUAAUUUCAAACGGAUGAAAAGGUGGUAGCGAUUCAUAAAAAAUGUAUCUUCCUCAGAGAUAUGCACAUUAAAUGCACGUUUGUAAGCGUACAAAAAUAAUACAUAAAUAUGUAUGUCUGAAUACAUUUUUUGCUUAAACUGCACGUAAGUAAUUUAAGCAUUAGCAUUUUUGUAAAUCUUGUUUAUCUAAUUUACAACUAUUGACAUAUUUCGUGACAAAUAUUUAUUUCAAACUGCACGAAAAGUCUUAUUCCACGUCAUGCUCGGGACAACGAUACCCACCCUAGGCUCUAAAACCUCAGACAAUUCUGUUCAAGUUAAUUAUGUACACUGACUAAUUUUUUUACCGCAAGACGAGCUCAAUGUUCACCAACAUUGUGAGAAGAACAUGCACACCAUAAGGACGACAUCAUGGAGACGCAAUUCCAAACUUUACCGAAAUCUUGACGAGCAUGAAGAAAAUAAAAUGAAUGACGGAACCACGUCCAUUAAAGUUACACACUUUGUGAGGAAUAUAUUUUAUAUUUUUCAUAAGAAUGCAUAUUUAUAGUCUCGGUUAAACACACGUAUGUAUUAGCUUUACUAUUUUUCAUCCUCAUUUUCGUACUUGGAUAGAUACAUACAUAUGCUUCAUCUAAAUUUGCAUAAGAAAUUAGCAUAUUUACUAAAUAUGCAAAUUAACUAAAAUGCUGGCCGAUUUAAGAGUACUUAGCUAGGUUUUUCCAUUCCGGUAGUAUGGAAAAAUUUACUAAAAAGAAGUGAAACGAGAAUCACAUGGAUGUUUCGAUUCACAUUGCGAAUUUCUAUCGUCCAGAAACAAAGUACCUCUAUUGGUCAAAUCUAUAAAAUUCCAAAAAUAAAUUAUGCACAUUGGCCUCAAGUCUCGCAGUAUGAAUUUCAUUGUAGAAUAUACAAAGUAAAAACUAUAGUAGAAAUUAAUUUAAUCUUCCCUACUUUACAAAUUAUUUGAACUCACAUAUAAAAUAUUCAAAAAUAAGGAAUCACACCUAUGUCUGCUGAUAAAUUUUUUUAAAUGCUUUGCAAAUGCAUAGUAAUGGAGAAUUGGUGACGGUAAAAUCACCUUCUUUUCAUUAGUAGUUAAUUCUUUAUUUUCGAGGUACUUUGUAAAAAUUGGACAUUUGUACCAACGAAUUGGAUCUCUCUGCUCGGUUUCGUCGUAUUCCAUUUCUUUAUCUUCUUCAUCACGAAUCACAACUUCUUGUGUACAUUGGUCGCAUGCUGCGAUAUUCUCAGAGACCCCAUAAUUCAGCUGCAAGGUGUUUAGCGUACAUCCUAUUCGUAGAGAAAUAUUCGAAUUUCCUCUCCAUGCUUUGGUGUCCCUCCAAUGGAGGGACACCAAAGCAAGUUCAGAGGAUGGAGGGCCUCCAUCCUCUGAACUUGGCGAAACACUACCUGUAAGAGUCCGCGAUCAGUGAUCCAAGGGUGGACAGGAGUAAUGUCUUCAAAAAACCAGUGUGAAUAUAGUUUAUCUUUACGAGGAAUGACCCACACAAAGCAAUUAUUGAAUACAUUCAAAUAAUAUAUAUUUAUUAUUUCCACCAUGGAUACAUUGUAUUUCUCCAUGUGCCCAGAAGUCUGGAGUCAGGGGGCCCUUGCAAGCCCUUGUUCUGGUCGAGGCGCUUCGAUAACCUCGUCUUUCUGCUCAAAUUGGUUGCUUGAGCUCCUCAAGUAUGUUGUCCUCGUCUCGAAUUUUUCGAACUCUAUGCCAGUUAUGCUGUGCAUGAAAUUGUUUUACGUAUCGGACAAGAGAUUGUUUUUCACAGGUAGACGACGAGCAAUCUCUUUUUCUUCACUGCGUAUAGACGACUUCGCAAGAUUCGAAAUUAUUAGCCUUUUCCAUGUUCGUCGUUGGUCAACUUAUUUCUUGAAUUAUAUUCGCUUAACAAACUAUCCGAUGUACAUGUACUUGACAUCGAAAUAUACUUGCAGAUAUCCUUAUCCUUGACGUGAGUAUACUAAUUUUUCGUGCAAAAAUAUCCUUGUACAUUUAACAUAUUUAUUCUGAAUGAUAUUAAUAAUUGACAUUAAUAGUGACAAUAAUUGACAUUAAUAGUGACAAAUUAACCAGUGAGUUUAUUAGCACUACACUUUUUUAGUCCUACAUAUUCAAUCGUUUACUUGUGUCUCAUUGCAAUACCAAUUUUGGCAAUUAGACAUGAAUUAGUUUAUCUAAAAUUAUUUCGAAUGCACGUUUCAUGCAAAUCGAGGUAGAGAUGAAGAUGUUCCUCAGAAAUUUAUUAGCAUUUACAAAUAUACAGACAGUUAAGCAUCUCGAUAAUAAAUUUUUAUUAGUUUUAAAAUUGUGUCCAGAACUGGAGUUUAAAUCUGUAAUAAUAUAAUAUUAUAUUUUAUAUUAUUAAGGGUUAUGUACGUACAUAACAUACAUAAACUGCACAGAGUUUGGAUUUCAAAAAUAUACUAAACGCCAAUAAGUUUUUAUGCAUUAGAUAUUGAAAUAAAAACCUACUUAACUAACUUCAUAUCAACGACUUACUAAUAGAAACAAUAACUAGUUAACUACGAAUUAAUAAAUUGUGCAUCAUAUGUUAUAACAGUAAUAAACAAUUAUUCACCGCUUAAACAAAGUUUAUGCAAAUUAAAUGUUAAAAAGCAGAGGUAAAAAUAAGCAAAUUGUAAAACAUAUACAUAUAUGUACGUAGGUAUGUACAUAUUUAGAGUGUAUUUGUCCAUAAAUAUAAAAGCAAUUAAAUAUGUAUUUUCUUAAUUUGUACUUAUUUAGCUCACUGUAAGCAUUAAAACCGAUGAAUAAAAAAUUUCACGUUCAAAGAUAA